rnacentral:rRNA from 1 species
GACGGAGGAUGCAAGUGUUAUCCGGAAUCACUGGGCGUAAAGCGUCUGUAGGUGGUUUAAUAAGUCAACUGUUAAAUCUUGAGGCUCAACCUCAAAAUCGCAGUCGAAACUAUUAGGCUAGAGUAUAGUAGGGGUAAAGGGAAUUUCCAGUGGAGCGGUGAAAUGCGUAGAUAUUGGAAAGACCACCGAUGGCGAAGGCACUCUACUGGGCCACUACUGACACUGAGAGACGAAAGCUAGGGGAGCAAAUGGG